UUUCAUCUAUUCAACUCUCUCUUACAUACUACCUUUGACUAUUAGAUUGAUUAAUUGUUAUGCGACUUUCUUUUGAUUCAAUUGACAAAAGAAAACAAUGGAUGAAUGGAGUUGUUGGGGGUUUACAAUUUCAUCUAAUCCGCUCCCUCUUAUCUACUCCUCUUGAAUUAUUAGUUUGAUUAAUUAAUUGUUAUGCGACUUUCUUAGCCUACCCUUAACCCGAUCCCUCGGCGAAAAGGGCCUAAUAUUAACUACUGGC
rnacentral:lncRNA from 1 species